rnacentral:rRNA from 1 species
UAAGGUAAGGAGGUGAUCCAACCGCAGGUUCCCCUACGGUUACCUUGUUACGACUUCACCCCAGUCAUGAAUCACAAAGUGGUAAGCGCCCUCCCGAAGGUUAAGCUACCUACUUCUUUUGCAACCCACUCCCAUGGUGUGACGGGCGGUGUGUACAAGGCCCGGGAACGUAUUCACCGUAGCAUUCUGAUCUACGAUUACUAGCGAUUCCGACUUCAUGGAGUCGAGUUGCAGACUCCAAUCCGGACUACGACAUACUUUAUGAGGUCCGCUUGCUCUCGCGAGGUCGCUUCUCUUUGUAUAUGCCAUUGUAGCACGUGUGUAGCCCUGGUCGUAAGGGCCAUGAUGACUUGACGUCAUCCCCACCUUCCUCCAGUUUAUCACUGGCAGUCUCCUUUGAGUUCCCGGCCGGACCGCUGGCAACAAAGGAUAAGGGUUGCGCUCGUUGCGGGACUUAACCCAACAUUUCACAACACGAGCUGACGACAGCCAUGCAGCACCUGUCUCACAGUUCCCGAAGGCACCAAUCCAUCUCUGGAAAGUUCUGUGGAUGUCAAGACCAGGUAAGGUUCUUCGCGUUGCAUCGAAUUAAACCACAUGCUCCACCGCUUGUGCGGGCCCCCGUCAAUUCAUUUGAGUUUUAACCUUGCGGCCGUACUCCCCAGGCGGUCGAUUUAACGCGUUAGCUCCGGAAGCCACGCCUCAAGGGCACAACCUCCAAAUCGACAUCGUUUACGGCGUGGACUACCAGGGUAUCUAAUCCUGUUUGCUCCCCACGCUUUCGCACCUGAGCGUCAGUCUUUGUCCAGGGGGCCGCCUUCGCCACCGGUAUUCCUCCAGAUCUCUACGCAUUUCACCGCUACACCUGGAAUUCUACCCCCCUCUACAAGACUCUAGCCUGCCAGUUUCGAAUGCAGUUCCCAGGUUGAGCCCGGGGAUUUCACAUCCGACUUGACAGACCGCCUGCGUGCGCUUUACGCCCAGUAAUUCCGAUUAACGCUUGCACCCUCCGUAUUACCGCGGCUGCUGGCACGGAGUUAGCCGGUGCUUCUUCUGCGGGUAACGUCAAUCGAUGAGGUUAUUAACCUCACCGCCUUCCUCCCCGCUGAAAGUGCUUUACAACCCGAAGGCCUUCUUCACACACGCGGCAUGGCUGCAUCAGGCUUGCGCCCAUUGUGCAAUAUUCCCCACUGCUGCCUCCCGUAGGAGUCUGGACCGUGUCUCAGUUCCAGUGUGGCUGGUCAUCCUCUCAGACCAGCUAGGGAUCGUCGCCUAGGUGAGCCGUUACCCCACCUACUAGCUAAUCCCAUCUGGGCACAUCUGAUGGCAUGAGGCCCGAAGGUCCCCCACUUUGGUCUUGCGACGUUAUGCGGUAUUAGCUACCGUUUCCAGUAGUUAUCCCCCUCCAUCAGGCAGUUUCCCAGACAUUACUCACCCGUCCGCCGCUCGUCACCCGAGAGCAAGCUCUCUGUGCUACCGCUCGACUUGCAUGUGUUAGGCCUGCCGCCAGCGUUCAAUCUGAGCCAUGAUCAAACUCUUCAAUU